rnacentral:lncRNA from 1 species
UUUUUUAUUCAUGAGAGACACAGAGAAAGAGAGAGAGGCAGAGACGCAGGCAGAGGGAGAAGCAGGCUCCGUGCAGGGAGCCCGACAUGGGACUUGAUCCCAGGACUCCAGAAUCAAGCCCUGGGCCAAAGGCAGGCACUUAACCGCUGAGCCACCCAGGGAUCCCCCUUGCAUUGUAUUUUUGUUAGCAUGCUAUAGACUAGGAAUUGACAAACUCUGUAAAGUUUCUGUUGCAACAGCUAAGCUGAGUUGAGAAUAUACAAACAAAUGAACAUGACUAUGUCCCUGUAAGACUUUCUUUAUGGACACUAAAAUUUAAAUUUUCAUAAAACUUUCAUGUAUCAGGAAAUACUUUUCUAUUUUACUUUCCCCCCAACUAUUUAAAAAUAUAAAAAUAACUCUCAGCUCAAGAAGCAUGUAAAAACAAGUAGCAGCACAUAUUAGCCCAUAAGCCAUACCUUACUUUAGACUAAUAAGCAGUAUUGCAAAGAAUGGAGUAGGUCUAUAUGUAUUAGACGUGCUUUCUCUAAACUAAAACAGCCUAUUGCAGAACAACAUGUAGACUAAGAUUUCAUGUUUAUAAAAAAGUUUAUCAUGCUUCUAUGUUUAUCUAAUGUUCUGUGACCAGAUCGCUAUGGAAGGAUACACACCAAACUGUUCAAACUAUUACCACCGCACAUAAGAUUGGAGGCAAAGAAGCAGACAUCUGCCUAGGAUAAGUGUUCCUAAUGACUAUAAUCACGUAUGACUGUUAAUUAAAUUUCUGAUAAAAUAAAAUGUACCUCACCUCACAUGUAGUACAUGUGGUUUACAAUUUCAGAAAACCACAAAAUUUCCAUCAUAUAUAUAAAGGGCUUCAUCACUGAAAUGUUCAUAUAUAUGCUUAUUUCCUCUGAACAUGUUUUCUGUGUAUCAUAACUACAAAAAGUGGAGAGAAUAAUUUAGACCAGAACAAAAAACAAUGGAAUAAAAUAUUAAGUGCAAGAUAUUAUCACCCUACUUUGCAUUGCCUUUCCAUUUGUACAUCUAGCUUGUCUCAAAUUCUACCCUUUAAAUGAGUAGUGUGUCCUAUGACUAGUUAUAAAUACUGAAACAUCAUCUGGGUUCUUGCAAAAGAAUGUUCUCAUAAGCUCUUAUUUGUUCAGGACAUAAUUAAUAGUGUUGAUGUAGCAGACACCUUCAUUUUCAGUUUGUACUAGUUAUCCAUUGCUGCAUAGUAAAUUACUCCCCAAAUUCUUAGAGGCCUAAAGCAAAAAUAUACUCUCUCACAGUUUCUGUGCAUUAAGAAUUCAGGAGCAGUUUAGCUGUUUGUUCUGACUCACAGUCUCUCCAAAGGCUGCAGACAAUCUAUGAGCCAGAGCUGCAAUCAUCUGAAGGCUUGACUGGGGCCAGAGGAUUUAUUUCCAUGAUGGUUCACACAGAUGACGAUUGGCAGGUUUCAUGUCCUUGAUACAUGAACCCCUCCAUAGAUCUGUGUAAUGAUCUUGUGGCAUGGCAGCUAGAAGACGGGAGCUUCAUUGCCUCUUAUGGCCCAGCCUUUGAAGUCACGCAUCCACAAUAUUCUAUUAGUUUACAGUUCAGCUCUCAUCAAUGUGGGAAGGCUGUGGAUACCAGGAAGCUUGCUGGUAUCGUAUCCAUUGGUAUCAUGGGACACCAUCUUGGAAGCAGCCAGUAUUCAAAAAUAUUUAGAGAUAGCCAGAGGCAUGGCCUAAAUCUAGCUACUAGCCAUGUUUUACAAAUGGAAAUGUGAUUAUAUUAUUCUAAUUUUGUUUGUAGCUGUAUUGCAGGGAAAAAAAUCUUUAUGUUAUAUUGAAAGCAUACUUAACUAUAACUUGUCAAAUACAUGACAACCAACAAAUCAGUGCUGUUAAAACACUUAGAGAAUUCAGGGUAUUUUAUACAAGCAAAUUAUCUAACUGCAUAAUUCACAUGCAGAAGUGAGAAAAUACAAGUAGUAAGGCAUUAAAUGGAAAAAAAUUAUAUUGUAAAAAUUACCUGCUUUAGCUUAUUAUUUUCCUGACACAGUGGCAUAGCAUAAAAAGUACAAGAAUUCAUCUGGUAAAGAAUUAGGUUCCUAAUCAGUGUAUAGAAUGCAUUUCUGGAAAAGAAAUACAUAUGCAUAGAAAAAAGACUGGAAGACUAUACACUGACAGUAACAGUGGUUAUGUCUGGGUGUUUGCAUGGGACGUUAUUGUUUUCCUUCUUGCUUAUGUGUUUUUAUCCAUGAUGUUCACAGAGAAAAUGAAUUAAUUACUUUUAUAAUAAGCAAAGACUCGUGUAAAAAUGCUCAUAGCCUUUUUUUCUGGCAUACAUUAAGUCAUUUCUCUUCCCUAAAUUGCCUUUUGAAUAAUUUUAUUUGAUAUCCAUAAAUCACUCUUACAAACCAAGAAAGGAUAAGUUACCUAUUCUAAUAUUUAUCCCUGAGGCCACUAGAAGCUAAUUGUGAACCUGUGAAAUAAGAAGCAAGUUUCAUGUGCAUUACCUUACUGUUAUGCUCAAUAAGGUCAAAGGUAAAGGUUUUGUCUCUUUCUGGUCCAUAAAAUAUGGAUUGCCAUUUUCGAAGUACAUCAACACUGGUAAUAGCUAUUCCCAUUAGUCAGUCAUAUAAUCUUAUGAAAUAUUGACAUGAUAAAACAAUGCAACUGAGAAAAAACCAAUAGAGCACACGUUUUAUUGACAAAUAAAUGCACAGGCUUAAAUUGUCUCUCACCACCUUUAUACCUGAUUGACAUGUUAUCAGAAAAAUAAAGAUUUAAACUGGCCAAGAUCAAUGAUUUCAAAAUGAUUCUUUAGUGCUUCGUCAGAUAAAAAUACAAAUUCAAUCCAAUCAUAAUUCACAUUUGGGUUCAUGCCACUUUGACAGUUACAUUUUAUGGCAAAAUGUACUUUAAUUUCAUAUUCAAACCUUUUCCCAGCUUUUCUUAGAGAAUUCACUUUUUAAUUUAUGAUACUUCCUUGCUCAAUUCAAGCUUCAUUCACUUUUGGAUACUUUGGAAAGAUAAAUAACUGACAAAUUCUGCCAUUCAUGAGUAAUGUACUGCCGGUAACUUAAGAAAAUAAAAUAGGUGGCCAAAGAGAUAUAUUUGUGUUACAAAUAAAUAUGUAUCAUAUGUAUAAGUAAUAACAAUAAAUUAGAAAUAUGUCAUCAAAAUGCUUUCCUAUUUUACUGAGCUUAAAUUUUAUACUGUAAUAUAUUGUUAGGUCAUAUACAUUUUAAGAAUGAAGUACCUCAGUUGUAGCUUAUGCUGACUACAACUAUGUUUGAAUGUAAAGUGUGCAAGCUAAGCCACAUAUCUACAUCUUAUUAGAGACUGCUACUUUCCAUCUACAUCUUUUGAGAAUUUUUUUUCUUUUGCUAAAAUAUGUCAUCACAACACUAAUCAACACAAAACUUGAAAGUGAGGAUAUUUCCAUGUAGUGCUUAAAACUUUUCUCCAAUUUAUAAGCCAUAGCACAAGAAGUACUCUUCAUAAGAAGAAUAACCAUAACAUUUAUUGAGUACUGUCUACAUGCUAGGAACACUUCCAUGUAGACUCUUCCACAUGUGUUAUUAUUUCAUUUAAUCUUGUAACCUCCUGUCAAGGUGGAAAAUAUUACUUCCACUUCACAGAUGAGGCAAUUCACAUCAGUCUGAACCCAAAGCCUGAAUUCUUAACUGCUAUACCACAAAAAGUUAAUUGAUGUGUGUAUAUCUGUGCCCUAUAUACUUGCUUUUCUCAUUCACAGGUGAGAUCAUUAACAUCACUCACCUGGUGACAAGGACUCAUACCAAAAUCAGAGACUAGAAGCUUCAAGUAGCCAUUACAGGACCUGCCUUGCUUUAAAGAAAUUUCAAACAUUGCACAUCAUCUUUUUUCUCUAGAUCUGAUCAUAAGCAGAACGUUUCAAGCAUGGUCAAAAAUUGCAAAUUCUACUACCUUGAGCUAACCAAACCCUGUUCUGUUCUUCCUUUUAGUGAUUGGGAUGAAAUAAACAACAGAAGGGAAUAGUGAACAUGAAGGUGACUUCCUUGUAUCCAUGCUGCCCCAGAUGAAGGACUAAGCCAAUCAUGGUCAUUCCA